GAUAUGGCUCAGGAUGAACGCUAGCGGCAGGCUUAACACAUGCAAGUCGAGGGGCAGCGCGGAGUAGCAAUACUCUGGCGGCGACCGGCGGAAGGGUGCGUAACGCGUGAGCAACUUGCCCGCAUCAGGGGGAUAAGCGUUGGAAACGGCGUCUAAUACCCCGUAACAACGGUGACCGCAUGAUCACCGUUUGAAAGCUCCGGCGGAUGCGGAUGGGCUCGCGUGACAGUUAGCUAGUCGGCGGGGUAACGGCCCACCGAGGCGACGAUGUCUAGGGGUUCUGAGAGGAACGGUCCCCCACACUGGAACUGAGACACGGUCCAGACUCCUACGGGAGGCAGCAGUGAGGAAUAUUGGUCAAUGGCCGGAAGGCUGAACCAGCCAUGCCGCGUGCAGGGAAAUGGACGGCCCUAGUGGGUACGUAAACUGUCUUUUGUGGCGGAGCAAGUAAGGGCUACGUGUAGUCCGAUGAGAGUACGUCACGAAUAAGCAUCGGCUAACUCCGUGCCAGCCGCUGC
rnacentral:rRNA from 1 species